rnacentral:rRNA from 1 species
CCUACGGAGGCAGCAGUAGGGAAUCUUCCACAAUGGACGAAAGUCUGAUGGAGCAACGCCGCGUGAGUGAUGAAGGUUUUCGGAUCGUAAAACUCUGUUGUAAGGGAAGAACAAGUACGAGAGGUAAUGCUCGUACCUUGACGGUACCUUGCGAGAAAGCCACGGCUAACUACGUGCCAGCAGCCGCGGUAAUACGUAGGUGGCAAGCGUUGUCCGGAAUUAUUGGGCGUAAAGCGCGCGCAGGCGGCCUUUUAAGUCUGAUGUGAAAGCCCCCGGCUCAACCGGGGAGGGUCAUUGGAAACUGGAAGGCUUGAGUACAGAAGAGAAGAGUGGAAUUCCAUGUGUAGCGGUGAAAUGCGUAGAGAUGUGGAGGAACACCAGUGGCGAAGGCGACUCUUUGGUCUGUAACUGACGCUGAGGCGCGAAAGCGUGGGGAGCAAACAGGAUUAGAUACCCUGGUAGUCCACGCCGUAAACGAUGAGUGCUAGGUGUUGGGGGGUUUCCGGCCCUCAGUGCUGAAGCUAACGCAUUAAGCACUCCGCCGUGGGGGGUCGGCCGGCAAGGCUGAAACUUNAAAGAAGUUGACGG